rnacentral:rRNA from 1 species
UCGGGAAUUUUGGGCAAUGGGGGAAACCCUGACCCAGCAACGCCGCGUGAAGGAUGAAGUAUUUCGGUAUGUAAACUUCGAAAGAAUAGGAAGAAUAAAUGACGGUACUAUUUAUAAGGUCCGGCUAACUACGUGCCAGCAGCCGCGGUAAUACGUAGGGACCAAGCGUUGUUCGGAUUUACUGGGCGUAAAGGGCGCGUAGGCGGCAUGACAAGUCACUUGUGAAAUCUCUGGGCUUAACCCAGAACGGCCAAGUGAUACUGUCGCGCUAGAGUGCAGAAGGGGCAAUCGGAAUUCUUGGUGUAGCGGUGAAAUGCGUAGAUAUCAAGAGGAACACCUGAGGUGAAGACGGGUUGCUGGGCUGACACUGACGCUGAGGCGCGAAAGCCAGGGGAGCAAACGGGAUUAGAUACCCAAGUAGUCCCUGAGCGGGCUGGCAAGGCGCAU